CAAUGCAUAGCACAGCAAAGCAAAGCAAGGCAAAAUAGCAGCCAAAGCCACGAGAAUCAAGAAGUCAGUGAAGAGCAGGAAAGGUAAGUUUCCCUUAAAGCAAGGGGGAAUGGUAGUGGAUGGGGGCAAAAGAGAGGGGAGGGGGGAGGGGAGGGAAGGAGUGGGGGGAGAGGGGGAGGAGCAGUGGGGAAAGCGGGGGGCUAGAGGGGGGUGAGGGGUGCAAGAGGGGGGAGGGGGAAGGGUGGGAGGGGGGAGAGUGAGGGGGGUGAGUAAGUGGGGGCGUGGGUGGAUGGGGGGGGAGAGGAGAGAGGGUAGGAAGGAAAAAAUUGGAGGUAGGGUGAGGGAAGGGGAGGGUUUGAAGGGAAAAUAAUGAAACAGAGGGAAAAAAGAGAAUAACAAGUAAAAAGCAAUGCAUGUAAAUACAGAGCAAGCAAGUAGGAAAGCUAGGCAUAGCACAGCAAAAGAGGCAAAGCAAAAGGAGGCAAAGAAUGACAAAAAGCAACCUUGCAGGAAUGGAGGAAUCUGGCCAGAGCUGUGCCCCUGCUUGCCACAGGAGCUGCGCGGGAGGAGAAGAAUGUGGGCCAAAAGGAAUGGAGGAAUCUGGCCAGAGCUGUGCCCCUGCUUGCCACAGGAGCUGCGCGGGAGGAGAAGAAUGUGGGCCAAAAGGUAAGAGGAGCUCCUUUGGGUUCUGGGCUUGAAGCAAAGCUGAGAAGCCAUGCCCGGGAGGAGGUGUGGGUAGCUACAGGCCACCUUGCUAUCUCCCCAAGAGAUGAGGUGUGUGGGCUAGGCACCGGGCAGGAGUGCUGGCCAGAAGCAAGCAUCUCUGUGGAGGAAGGCAAAGGGCGGAGGAGGUUCAAGGGUAGCUACCGGGCAUGGCCUUGCUCAGCAAGGGGAGGAAAAGCCUGAAGGGCACGAGAAGGGGACAGAGAAGGGCAGGCAGUAGGCGUGAAGCUGUGAGCAGAGUAGAGAGCAACUUGGCAGAGCAGCAAGCAGAGUAGGCAAGUGCUGAGGUUUGGCGUGAGUAGCAGCAAAAGCCCAUAGCAUCAAGAAGCAGGAAGUGAGGAGAAGGUAAGUGAAGGGCAGGCAAGGUAAUGGGAGGCAGAGGCAAGGGGAAAGGGGGGAGUAAGGGAGAAAGAGGGGAUGGGGAGGGGAGGGGAUGGUGAAGAGCAGAGCGGAGGGAAGGGCUGAGGGAGGGCUGAAGGCAAACCAAUGAUGAAAAAAAGAAAAGAAAAAAAUAAGCACAAAAAAUAUGAAAUAAGAGAAAAAAGAAAAGAAAAAUAAGAAAAAGAGAAAAAAGGAAAAGAAAAAAAAUGAACAAAAAGACAAAAAAGAGAAAAAAAAAUGAACAAAAAAAUAAGAAAAAGAGAAAAGAAAAAAAUGAACAAAAAAGAGAAAAAGAGAAAAGCUAAAAAAUGGACAAAAAAGAGAAAAAAGAGAAAAGAAAAAAAAUGAACAAAAAAGAGAAAAAAGAGAAAAGAAAAAAAUGAACAAAAAGAGAAAAAGAAAAAGCUAAAAAAAAGAAAAAGAGAAAGAAAAAAGAGAAAAUAGAAAAAAGAGAAGAAAAAUAUGAAAAAAAAAAAAGAAAAAAAAGAAAAAAAGAAAAAAGAAAUAGAAAUAAAAGAUAGAAAAAAGAAAAAAAGAAAGGAAAACGGAUAAUGACAAGAGAAGAAAGGUAAAGAGAAAAGAAAAAAAGCCAAGUCAAAAAGUAAAGAAUAACUCGAAGGAAGGAGUGGAUGGCAAGAAAUACAGGGAAAGCAAUGCAUAGCACAGCAAAGCAAAGCAAGGCAAAAUAGCAGCCAAAGCCAAAAGAAGUCAGUGAAGAGCAGGAAAGGUAAGUUUCCCUUAAAGCAAGGGGGAAUGGUAGUGGAUGGGGGCAAAAGAGA
rnacentral:lncRNA from 7 species